rnacentral:lncRNA from 1 species
CCCACCCCCUUUCUUCCUAAACCUAACGCUGAAACGGAAUCAGACAGGGAGAGAGGGAGGAAAUCAGAGUGUGAUCUAAGCAGCCACCGUUCAGUCACCAGAGCCACCGCUGGGGUCCUUCGCCGUCACUAUCGUCGCCAUCCACGCGAGAUGCAGCGCUGCGAAGUCCAGCCAUCGUGACCUUCGUGGAGCCCGCGUCGCUGUCGCCUCGGCUGUUCCCAAUGCCGCUGGGUCUGUCGCGCGUCGUUGUCUGAGGAGCCACUGCCGCCGUUGCUCGUUGUCUCCCUUAGGGCUGUCACCGUCGCUAGAGCCAGCCGCCUUCGUCGCCGUUCAUCCUUGUCGUCGUCUUCGCCGCUCUGUGGAGGCCGUAGAGAGGAACGCGAACCAGGAGCCAUAGCGCCGCCGCCGCCGAUCUGUCACCGUGCUGCUGCGUCGCCGUUGAUGAAGUUUUUGCCACCGCCGUGAACUGCGAACAGAGGAGAACGAGAGAGGAGGCGAUGAAUGAAGCCGUCACUGAAGUUGUGGCCGUCGUUGCCAGAGGCAUGGAGGAAGGGAGGUAGAACCGCGAGAUAGAAAAGCCACUGUGACUGUCGUUGCUGCCAUGAGUGUGGUCCACCGUCGAGCUGCACACUGCCAUUGGCGUCAGAAACCACCUUUAGAACCACUACUGCUUUGGUGAGCUCUGUCUCCUGUUUUUGCUUCUUUGUCCUACCAAUUUGUUCCUACUUUGAAGCUUGUCCCUGAAACUGUUUGUAUUGUAUAAAGAGAUUAUCGUAAAUUACAUCACCGCCGCCGUUACUAGAGGUAGCUGCCAGCUCUAUUUGGAGACAGCCGCUAAGUCACCACCGAAGCUAAGAACAGGUGCUGGGAUUCGAUGGAGCACCGCUGCUGCUGUGAAUUUGUAAUAUUUGGUUUACCGCGUCUAAAUUCUUCAAUUAUGGCUAAUUGAGGUAGGGGAUUUAACGUUUUUAAUUUAGAAUGCCUACAAAGUUAUUUGGAUAAGUGCAAAUGGUUAACAAUGGUUAAGAAUUUCUUAAUUGACAUGAAUGACUUGAAAUGCUUUUGAAAUUAGUUAGUUAGUUGUGAUUAUUCUGAGCUGUGAGUGGAAUUAGAUGCCGUUGUGAACAAUUAAUUUGAAAAG